rnacentral:misc_RNA from 1 species
UGUUUUUUUUUUUUUUUUUUGAUAAAGAAGCUAAUUUAAAAGUCAAUGUAUCUGCUGCUAAGAGAAUGAAAGUUUAUUUCAGCAAUAUAGAGCCAAUUGUAACUGAAUCUCAAAUUCCUUUUUAUAAAAUGGGGAAUGGGAGAUUUGAAAGCUUCUCUAGUUGACAAAAGUUCAGUAUUGCCUAAAAUACCUUGAAACAACGUUUUGGAAUGGGAUUAGCAGAGAAUCAUUGCUGAGUUGAUCUAGCAAUGAAAAAUACCUCAGCGAUUGAUAGGACAAUGGAGCUGAUCUAACUCAAUUACCCACAGCCACAAUCACGAUUUGUAAUCAUAUGGAGCCUUAAUUACAAAGGUUUUUUCAUGAG